GGGGCUAUAGCUCAGUUGGCUAGAGCGCUGCCAUGGCAUGGCAGAGGUCACGGGUUCGAGUCCCGUUAGCUCCA
rnacentral:tRNA from 2 species